CAUGCAAGUCGAACGGUAACAGGAUGUGCUUGCACAUCGCUGACGAGUGGCGGACGGGUGAGUAAUGCUUGGGAACUUGCCUUUGCGAGGGGGAUAACAGUUGGAAACGACUGCUAAUACCGCAUAAUGUCUUCGGACCAAACGGGGCUUCGGCUCCGGCGCAAAGAGAGGCCCAAGUGAGAUUAGCUAGUUGGUAAGGUAACGGCUUACCAAGGCGACGAUCUCUAGCUGUUCUGAGAGGAAGAUCAGCCACACUGGGACUGAGACACGGCCCAGACUCCUACGGGAGGCAGCAGUGGGGAAUAUUGCACAAUGGGGGAAACCCUGAUGCAGCCAUGCCGCGUGUGUGAAGAAGGCCUUCGGGUUGUAAAGCACUUUCAGUUGUGAGGAAAAGUUAGUAGUUAAUACCUGCUAGCCGUGACGUUAACAACAGAAGAAGCACCGGCUAACUCCGUGCCAGCAGCCGCGGUAAUACGGAGGGUGCGAGCGUUAAUCGGAAUUACUGGGCGUAAAGCGCACGCAGGCGGUUUGUUAAGCUAGAUGUGAAAGCCCCGGGCUCAACCUGGGAUGGUCAUUUAGAACUGGCAGACUAGAGUCUUGGAGAGGGGAGUGGAAUUCCAGGUGUAGCGGUGAAAUGCGUAGAUAUCUGGAGGAACAUCAGUGGCGAAGGCGACUCCCUGGCCAAAGACUGACGCUCAUGUGCGAAAGUGUGGGUAGCGAACAGGAUUAGAUACCCUGGUAGUCCACACCGUAAACGCUGUCUACUAGCUGUGUUGUGCUU
rnacentral:rRNA from 1 species